rnacentral:lncRNA from 1 species
CUGUGAAAAAGAUUAUUCUUUUCCCAAUUUAUGGUGUUCAGGAUGAAGAAGGAAGUCCCCAACUUCAACUGAAGUUCCCUGGACUUAUCCCAACCCACAAGCAGCUAGAAACUAUGCUAUUUCUGGAGCUGUUAGUCAUGACUAGCUCUGCAUUAAAAUUUGACUGAAGCUGCAUGUAUGUAUUAAAUCAAUUUGUAUUCUCUUGGUCAAGAGCAAGCAUGAGCAAGCCUCUGAAGAGCUGCAUCUCUAACUGCAAGCAUCCCCACGUACUUAUAUAUAUAUGAGCAGGCACUGGCCCUCUCUUUUCUGACAUUCCCUGAAGUGUUCAAUAUUAACAAGCUGUUCAUUGAACUAGGAACAAAUUGGUUGGAAUCAUAUUUGCUAUGUUUUAUUAAAGCAUAGGCAAAAUUACAAUUUCAAAACUACAAGGGAUCUGAUUCCAAAUGUUAUUUUUGUAUAUGAUGAAUUUUAAAAAGUGUUAAAGGGUGAUCCAAAGUUGCCUAUCUAUUCAUUAGCAUGUCUUGCUUUAUGAAAUCCAGAGGUUUUUUCUAUUAUGAUAUAUGUUGCAUACUGAAUCUUAGGGUGCACAUACCUGGCCUAGACAUAAAGAUCUGCUGUUACGUUAUUUUCAAGUUGAGGUAGAGUUAAUGUAAAGUAAUAUGCAACAAUGUUCUUUUCAAUGAGAUUUACAAUUAUACCCACCAUCUUUGUACCUGCAGCAAAUAGAAAUGCUAUUGUCAAGGUAGUCUGUAUGAAAUGCUGAAUUUGGCAAAUUCCUCAAAAUACUUAUAAAAUGUGUUAUAAUAAAUAAUAUUUAUAUUUUUUUCUGGUAGUAAUAACUAAUUAAUGCUAAAUAUAUUUUUGAACUUCUACUAUGUGCCAGAAAAACAUUGGAAAAACAAAUCUGAAUGAACAGGCUAUUUUCUCAAACCUAUAAGUAAAGGUUGGAGAUAAAUCCACAUUUACAUUUUUUUUUUUAACUUGCUACGAAAACACUUAAAAGAACAACCUGAGGCAUUUUGGCUAACCAGAGAAGCUGAUGCUUCUAUCCAGUAUUGAAGAGUAGAUCACAUUUUGUUUGAUAAAGAUCUUAAAAGUCUCAUGUUUCUACAGGCUUCUAUGAAUUUUCUUCUCUUAAUUGGUUUAAGUGAUUAAUCAGUGAUUACUAGAUGGAUCAUUGAUUGGUGUGACCAAGAUUUAGGCAGAGGGUGUUAAAAGAGUGACUAGUAUGGAGGGUAAAAAUUUUAACAAGUCUAAAUCAUGAAGCACCUUGAAUACCAUUCUGAUUUGUUUGAUUUUCUAUUAGCUAUGUCAGGUCACCAAAAGAUAUUUUUAUGAAAAUAACAUGGUCCUUUUGAUUAUUUCAGAAGACCAUUUUGAAAAUAACAUAGAAACCCCAUUGAUAGGAGAUUAGAUUGAAUUUAGAAAGAAAGACCAUUGUGAAGUGUCUGAGAAAAAGAACUGUUGCUUAGAAUGUAGUCAUUAGCAACAAUUUACAAACAUUACUAAAAUAAUUGAUAUACAUAAGAAUAAGAAAUAUAACUGCAGAAAAUAUGGGAUCUCAGGCAAAAGAAGUAAAAUAGCUAUCCUAUGCUCAAAGAAAGAGAAUAUUUAUCUCUUCUCACAAAUGUUAAUUCACACUGAUUCACUCUCCUGGAAAUGAAGAAGAAUGGAUAGAAAAAGUACCGAUAAAUUGGCUGUAUUUUGUUUUACACACACACCAUAUUAUACACCUCUGUAGUUGCUUUCCUGUCAUCUCUCCUAAGGGGGUGAAUUCUUUAGUAAGAAUGUCUUCUUACUAAAAUUGGCCAUAAGUGUUUGUAAAAAAUAUAUUUUUGAUCCAGAAUAAAUUGAUUUCAGCAUCCAGUGGUAUCCUACACAUUAUAUAUACUUAAUAAAAUAUUUCAGUAACAGGUAUCACAUGACAAACAAAUAAAUGGUUACUACAAAGAUGUAUUCUGUGAGCUUUGUAUUUAUUCAUCCAGGUUUUCACUGUCUUCUAGUUUCAGUUAUCUCUUCAUAUUGCACUUGAUCUUAAAUCAGGAAGAGUGUUUUAUAUUUAAUAUUCUGAAAUAUCUGGUAAUAAUUAUAAGGCUCAUCUAAUUCACCUCACUUUUAGAGACAAAAAUGCUGGAAACAAUCUGUUUAAAUCUUUGAAAAAUAUCUCCAAUAAAUUAAUUUAAUUUUAAGAAUAAUUUUAAAUCUCACAAUCAUGAGAUUAGCGUUAUAAUGAUUUUGUCUUAUUUAUGACAUUAAUGUAUUUUAUUUGCAACAAUACUACAUGUGUAAAAGUUGAGCUGCCCAAUGCAGAUUAAUAAAUCAAAACUAAAAUAUAAUUGACUUUGCAUCCCCUAGUACAAACAGCACAGAACAGUUUCUGAUAGGUCUCCUCUGAUUGUGAAGACAGCACAUUCUACAGGAGAAAUACUCCUUUAGCUCCUACAUCAGCUGUCACAGAAGGCUAACAGCUUUGAAUGAAGCUCAGAGGAGGAAACUGCCCUAGGGCAGACUUGCUACUUGAGUCAUAUACACUGGCUGGCCCUAUUAUUUAGAACAUAUCAGCGGUGGAAAAAGUGGGAGGUUUCUGUCAAGCUUCACUGGACAAAUCACAAUACAGUCCCCUGAGAUUCUAGACGAAGACCACGCUGUCUACAGUAGAGAAUUAUGUGUGUUUAAUAAGCAGCAUUAGCUGUGCUACACGGAGCUGGUAUGGUUUAUUAUCAACAGGCAGAAGAGCCUGCCAGUGGAAUGAACUACAGGAGAAGUACUGAAGGUAAUUUCAAAGUAAUAGGCAGGGACAAUGAGUAACCUAGUUCACAAACACUAUUUUACUGUCUUCCCUUCUAUAGCAUUCCUAAUAUUGUUAAUAGUACUCACAGAAAGAAAACACUGAGACAGAGCUACACUGAAGCCAGGCAGAAAGGGUAAAGCUGCAUACAGUGGUAAAAGUGGUUGACAUCUCCAAAAGAUUUUUCAGUAAGAAGAAUAGAGGAUUAAACUCAUUCCAAAUUAUAUAUUUAAUCACAGAUUAAGUAUAAUAACAAAAUAAAAGAAAAUACAUAAAGAAAUAUAAUAUAUGUAAUUUCAAAAAAACUUAGUUCAUCAUAGUAACUUGCUGAUUUUCACAUUUAAUCUGAUUAUCAAUGCUUUGGAAAAAUUUAAUGUAUCAUGGGGAAUGACAAAGAGGUGCUUUUGAUUAUUUUAUUUAUUGCUCCAUAGAAAUUUAAUCUAUAUCAAAUAAAUUACCCAUUAUUAUGUAUUGAGAUGAUUAUUGGUCUUUAAUAUUAAUAAUACAUUUAUCAUAUACCUAGCACAUAUUUUCUGUAGCAGUGCAAUGAACUGAAAUUAAGUAGCUCUAAUAAGCCUUCAACAAUAUAGCAACAUUCCUAGAAUCCUACUAACUUCAACUCAUGAAUGGGUAGUAAAUUUUAUCAAAUUUCUUAUUGAAAGAUUACAUGGCAAUGUGAUUCAUUAUACUGUCUUAUUUUCCAGUGUACUACAACUUUUAAACAUGGGAGAAAAAAUGAAACCACUCAGGGAUUGUAAAAGAUUUUGAUGUUUAAAUAUUUUUAAUUUUUUUUGGUAAUGUCUGGGUAAGGGUGAUACUGGCUUUAUAAAAGACUUGGAAGAUUUCCUUUUUUUCAUUUCUCUUGAAAUAUUUGCAUAAAGUUGGUGUUACUUUCUCUUUAAAUGCUGGAAAUAAUUUGCCAGUGAAGCCAUCUGUACCCAGGGGUAUUUGUCAGAAAGUUCUAAAACAUACUUAAUAUCAUUAGUAGAAAAGGAAAUAUUUACAUUUGAAAAUUUAUUCUUGUAGGUUUUUUUGGCAAAUUAUGUCUUUUGAGGAAUUUGCCAGUUUUAUAUAUCACAUAUAUCAGAAUGAAGUUGUGCCUUCUAAUUAUGGUUCAAUGCAUUGAAAUAUAGGAAAUGCAAUAAUUUUCCAUUUUCAUAUUUUUUAAUUGCCAAUUUAUAUUGUUAUGUUUUGUUUUCUGCCUCCUUGAUCAUGCUGCUAGAAAGGGGUCAACUUUAGGCUUUUUAUUCCCUAUUAUAGUUGGUUUUCUACCUGGUUGAUUGUUAAUCUUAAUUAUUUCCUUUCUUUUAAUUAUUUAUAUUAAAUUUGCUGUUUUAACUUCUUGUAAAUUGAGAUAGAAGCUAUGGGAAUUAUUUUAUUUUAAAUUUGCUUUUUUUUAAUUGUAUUUGCAAUGACAUAAUUGUACAUAUUUAUGGAGUACAGUGUGAUGUUUCAAUGCAUGUAUACAUUCUAUAAUGAUCAAAUAAAGG